UGUCACUGCUUUAAGCCGUAGCCGAGUUGCAAGCUGGAUAGCCCAGUGGGAGCCACACUACCAAGAAUGCCCUGGAGUGAGACACUGCCAAGAUAUGCCAGGUGUGGAUAAUCCGUAAGCAGAAAUGAAUGAAGGAAUGUGACAUCACGAUAUAGUAGUCCACUAUUGCUCAUUCUCUGCAAUAGUUAUCCAAUAAUCAUACUACGACCGUUUGGAAUGAAAGAAAGGAAUGAAUGAAAGGAAAAGUGGAACCAACCAUACUUCCCAGGAGCAGCCAUUACUUUGACUUUUCUGGUCUCUCCCUGUGGAUACUCUUCUGUCUUCAUCAUCUAUCUCAUCAUCUAUCUCAUCAUCCUGGUUGUGUUGAAAAAACCUCCCAGCCACCAUGAAUGGCUGGAUUUUUGGGAUAUUCUGAGCGAAAUAGGACUCGGCUGCUGUCUAUUCUUUUGGGGCUUCACCAGCUUAUCACCUCUACCACAAAUAAAAGUUUACUUCCCAAAGUCACUGGAUGAGAAGAGGGGCCACAGAAUGAAUGAAUGAAUGAAUGAAUGAUGAAACAAAUCAUUCAGUGGGCACUUAUGGCAGCCCAUGUUCCAAACUUUUAAAAAGCUGUCCACAAUCCCAAACUUUUCUUUAAUCAGCAACACACAAAUGAUGACUUGUUAGAAUUUCCUUACAUUUUCCAUUAUUAAUCUGAUGUUAUCAGCAUGAUGCUGGGUGUCCAGACCUCUCAAUACAGCUUUUACAGGACAGUUCUCAUGCUUUGUUGAACUACGAGUGAUAAAAGUUUAACCAUAGAAUAGAUCUAGAAUAGAAAUAGAUCUUUUCAGCUUCUAGACCCUUGCUAUGUUUCUUGACUUUAAUUGCAGGAUCUUGUGAGAUUUUUCAAAUAGUCUGCCAGUAUCUCAUUAAUUUUUAUAGUUUUUUGUUAAUAAUUUUCUAUUUAGUGUUAGAGUUAGUUUGUGUCAGAAUUAGCGUUUAUAUAACUCUGCUAUCUAUGUUUAUAUAGCUCUGCUAUAUAUCUUUUCUGCUAACUUCUACAUUUUUGCAGCUGAGAUAUAAGAAUCAUUGGAGGCUGGCAAAGAUAUUGGAGUGAGUGUUGAUAGCAGCAUAUAUGGUCUCUCUCAUUUCCCUUCACAUAUCCAUCAGUACUAGAAUUGUCUUGGAAAAGCAAACAAUCAAUUUCAGAGAGCACCAAAGACUCCAAAGGAGCAUAAAGUUGGUUUAUUUUAUCAAACUUAAAAUAGAUAUCUGGCUAAUUCUGGUAACCCCAAUGGACUUUGGAACAAAAGUGCAGAGCAGAGCAACCAAGAUGGUUAAAGGCCUGGAGACUAAAACAUAUGAAGAAUAGUUGCAGGAUUUCGAUUUGGCUAGUCUAAAGAAAAGAAGGACUAGAGGGGACAUGAUAGCGGUAUUCCUGUAUUUGAGAGG